rnacentral:rRNA from 1 species
UACGGAGGGUGCAAGCGUUAUCCGGAUUCACUGGGUUUAAAGGGUGCGUAGGUGGGCAGGUAAGUCAGUGGUGAAAUCUCUAAGCUUAACUUAGAAACUGCCGUUGAUACUAUCUGUCUUGAAUGUAGUGGAGGUGAGCGGAAUAUGUCAUGUAGCGGUGAAAUGCUUAGAUAUGACAUAGAACACCCAUUGCGAAGGCAGCUCGCUACACUAUUAUUGACACUGAGGCACGAAAGCGUGGGGAUCAAACAGG